GUGUUCGUUGAAAUGAUAAAUGGUUGGCGCCAUCUCCCCUGACAAGGACGGGAGCAGCUUUCGAGCUUACAUGUUGCCACACACAUCUGGUUUAGGCUAUCUGCUUGGUGUUGGGGUGGAUCUUACAUUGU